CUUGACCAAUCGACUUGUCUCAGCAGCAGAUGCUAAGGGGCAUAAACAGGCCCAGGACUGCACUCAUUUUCAACGUAUAACAGAAAUUUAUUGAUUUCAUGCCACGAGAAGAACGAUAACCCAACCCAAGAAAACAACAUUUGUCGCCACCAGCACACAAACCUCUGGCAAUUGCUUUUCUUCUGCUCUCUUCCCAUCGGCAACUCCUCUCCCUCUCUCUUUCUGAAUGUGUUUCUUUUGGCGGGAGGUGGGACCAUCUCGAUCAAAAUCUCGUCUUUCGCAAGUCCCUUUCUCAUAAAUCCUUCACACCCAACCGUCUCCCUACGAGCCGGCUCCUCCUCCUCCACCCUCACUCCCUUUUCCUUCUCCUGCUUUCUUUUUCACUGUGAAUAUCUCUCUCAUUUUCUACUUUCACUUCUCCUCUAAGGCUCUAACUUAGUACUCCACAAAAUCCCACUAAGAAACAAGUCACGAAGAGCAUGGGAAAGGACCUCUCUUUAGCACUGCUCUGUUUCUGUUUCUUCUUCUUUUAUUUCCUAACCACCAAACUAACUCUUUCUCUUUCUCCUGAUGGCCUCUCCCUUCUCUCUUUAAAAUCCGCCGUCGACCAACCUUCUGGGGAUUCCCCUUUCGCCGACUGGAAUGAUGAAGACCCCACCCCUUGCCUCUGGACUGGCAUUUCCUGCAUGAACGUAUCCGGAUUCCCCCACCCACGUGUCGUCGGAAUCUCUAUCACCAGUCAGAAUCUAUGCGGGUAUAUCCCUUCUGAGCUGGGAAAUCUAGUUUAUCUCCGGCGACUCAAUCUUCAUAAUAAUAACUUUUAUGGGUCGAUCCCGGCUGAGCUCUUUAACGCCACUGCACUUCACAGCCUCAUCCUUUACGGUAAUAAUCUUUCAGGUCCUCUUCCUCUCUCGAUCUGCAACCUCCCGAGACUCCAAAACCUCGAUCUUGCAAACAAUUCUCUCUCGGGUCCUUUACCGGAGGACUUAAACAAUUGCAACCAGUUGCAGAGGCUGAUUUUAGCGCGAAAUAAAUUCUCCGGUGAAAUUCCGGCGGGAAUUUGGCCAGAAUUGGACAAUUUAGUUCAGCUUGAUCUUUCGUCUAACGAGUUCAAUGGAUCGAUACCCAAUGAUCUUGGCGAACUCAAGUCUCUGUCUAAUACCUUGAAUCUCUCUUUCAAUCAAUUAUCUGGUAGAAUCCCAAAAUCUCUGGGAAAUUUGCCCGUCACCGUGAGUUUUGAUCUGCGAAACAAUAAUUUAACAGGCGAAAUACCUCAAACAGGGUCUUUUGCUAACCAAGGACCAACUGCUUUCCUGAACAAUCCUCUGUUAUGCGGGUUCCCUCUCCAGAAAUCGUGUAAGGACUUUACAGAGAGCUCACCAGCGAGGCAUAAUUCGACACCAGAAUCCCGUGAUAACCCUAAGAAAGGCUUAAGUUCUGGGUUGAUCAUACUUGUAUCAGUAGCUGACGCAGCUGUUGUAGCGUUCAUUGGUCUAGUAAUAGUCUAUGUCUACUGGAAAAAGAAAGAUGAUUCUAAUAACUGUAGUUGCACAGGGAAGACCAAACUUGGCGGGAACGAAAUAUCGCGUGCCUGCGGGCUCUGUUCCUGCGUCAAUGACUUCGGAAAUGAGGACUCGGAGUCAGAAGAUGUAGAGGAAGCAGAGAGAGGAGAAGGAGAAGGUGAGCUGGUGGCAAUUGACAAAGGUUUUAGCUUUGAGCUUGACGAGCUGCUUCGAGCUUCAGCUUAUGUGUUGGGGAAAAGUGGGUUGGGAAUCGUAUAUAAGGUGGUGCUCGGAAAUGGGGUUCCGGUGGCAGUGAGGAGGCUCGGCGAGGGAGGAGAGCAGAGGUAUAAAGAGUUUGUGGCUGAAGUGCAGGCUAUUGGGAAGGUUAAGCAUCCAAAUAUAGUGAAAUUAAGAGCUUAUUAUUGGGCCCCUGAUGAGAAACUUCUUAUCAGUGAUUUCAUCUCCAAUGGCAACUUGGCUACUGCUCUUAGAGGUCAGUUUAGUUAUUAUUUUUUCCCUUUGUUUCUCUCAUUACAGUCCUUGUAGUUUCUGGUUCUUGUGAAACUGUGGUGGUGCUCUUUCUUAAUGGCUUAGUUGGUGGGAAUUGGGUAGAAGACAAAUGGGCUUAAGUACGUUACAAUCAAAAUUGACCUUUUCUUUAGCAGGAGAGUGGAGACUCAAAGAUAGGUUUACGAGGUGGGUGACAUGCCUUUAGUAAUUGAAUAAGUUGGUGAAAAUAGACCUAAUUAGUGGACAUAGAGUUGGCCAUUAUAGUAUCAACACUGUGUGCAGCAUGUGUGGUGUGGCCUACCGGCUAUGAUUUACUGCAACCACCCAUGCUCUCAUCCUAACUCUACACCCUUUUUUCUCCAUGCGCGUUGUGUGCUCUCGCUUUCCCUUCUUAACGGUACUAUACAAAUGUCUUGCAAAAUUAAUGUCAAUAUUUACACAUCACACUAAUCAUCCUUAUCAAUAAGUUUUAAUUUUAUUUUUUUAAAAAAACUAAUGAUUUAAUGCAUAUUAUUACUCCUAGUGGAUUAGAGUCAUGGGGGUUGGAGAUAAAUGAUUGGAGUGAAUAUUAAUCAUAUAAAUUCCAAAGUUUAUUGUGGGAUCCUGGAGUUAGGUAGUAGGCAUCAUUGGUUGUGACUGAGUGAGAUCUACCAGAAACGCUGGUUGGCCCCUCUUUCACUGGCCUGACCAUGCAAGGGAUAGAUUGCUGAAUUGUUGAUGAUUAAAGGACUCGAGCGCUUCAGAUCUCUCAUCACAAGAUCAUACAUGGGUCUGAAAAAUACCCAUCUAGAGUUCGAAUUGGAGACCUCAGCUCUAGAAAUGAAUUCAACAUUACUUAAUCAAAACUCAUUGGUCACCACCAAUUACUCAUGUUAUUCAGUAAAUGCUGCUUCCAGGCUGUAGAUAAAUGGUCCCCUGCCGAUAAUGUUCAUCCUCCUUUGUUAAUCUUCCUUCCAUAAUCUAAUUACAUUACACCUGGAUUUUGGAUUUUUUCGUUUAAAGGUACUUUAUGAAGGUUCCUUUGUAUUCUUCCUCUUCACUUUUUUCUCUGAAUUUUUAGCUUUUCUUUUUCUACUUUCUGUUCUUCCUUUCAAGUUCCAUGUCUUUUGUGUUUGAGGGAAAACAUUUUAAAAAAAAAACUUAGUUUAAAUAUAAUGAUUUUCUUAAAAAAAAAAAACUGAGUAUCAUAUGUAGAUGCAGUGAUCAAGAGCUUGUCCCUUAGUAUAGAAAUGUGGUUAGGUGGCUGUUGCUUUUAGGGUCCCCUUUGACGGAUUUGGACCACAUUAUCUUCAUAUUUCUCUCACUGAGUCUCACCGCUCAAGUUGUCUUGACUAGUUGCUUGUUGCUGACAGAAGGGCUCAUCUGUGUGAGGUGAGAGCACACUGUGAGUGAUUAGCACAGGCUUCAUGAAGCUAAGGAUUGUUUGUCUAGGCAGCAUAGCAAACAUUUAAUAACAACUUUGUCUGCUUGUCUUUUUGGUUUCUUUUUUGUUUUUAGGGAAGAUACUGAGUAGAAGUACAACAUGAUCUUAUAAUUUAGAGACAAACUAGUCAAGAUUAAAGUACAUUUACAAACACAGUAAUUAAACAAGCAAACUGUUAUUAAAAAUUGACUCAUUUUAUUCUACAGGGAGAAGUGGUCAGCCAUCGUCCAGUCUGUCAUGGGCAACCAGGCUGAGAAUUGCCAAGGGAACAGCCAGGGGCUUAGCCUACCUCCAUGAAUGCAGUCCAAGAAAAUUCGUCCAUGGGGACAUCAAACCAUCCAACAUCCUCCUCGACAACGAAUUCCAGGCUUAUAUUUCUGAUUUUGGUCUAAGCAGACUAAUCAAUAUCACUGGUAACAAUCCUUCUUCCUCAGGUGGAUUUAUUGGUGGAGCUUUACCUUACGUAAAAUCAGUCCAAACCGAGCGAACCAACAAUUACUGUGCUCCAGAAGCUCGUGUUCCUGGCAACAGACCUACCCAGAAAUGGGAUGUGUAUUCAUUUGGAGUUGUCUUGCUUGAACUGCUGACAGGGAAAUCUCCUGAACUUUCACCAACCACAUCAACUUCUAUAGAAAUUCCAGACUUGGUAAGGUGGGUAAGGAAAGGGUUUGAAGAAGAGAACCCAUUAUCAGAUAUGGUAGACCCAAUGUUGCUCCAAGAAGUGCAUGCCAAGAAGGAGGUACUAGCAGUUUUCCAUGUUGCUCUUGCCUGCACUGAAUCAGACCUUGAGGUUCGACCGAGGAUGAAAAAUGUGUCUGAAAAUCUCGAGAGGAUCGGAACAUAGAAAAAAACAGAAAGAAGGCUUGAAAGUUUCUUGAUUUUGCAAAUUGCAAUGAGCUUUCCAGUUUUGCCAUGGCGAAUUUUUUGAGAGGUUGAGGUAGCUUAAAGAUAGCUUCAGCCACCCAAUUAACUUCGAUUUCCAAUGACUAAAGAAUCAGAUCCAAAAUUUUUGGUAGCAUAAUUGGGUAUAAAUUGUUUUUCUUUUGUGGGGUAAGUAAUAAGUAGCUUGUAUUUGUAAUUUAAAUUUCCAUCCCAUUCCCUUGGGAUGUGUUGAAAUAAAAUGUCGCCUUUUGUCAUCGGGUGUUUAGAUAUGUUUA
rnacentral:misc_RNA from 1 species